GCAGAUAUCAAGAGUGAAUACAAAACACUGGAGGAGGAAGCAGAGAGUAUAGUCAUUGUGGAUUACAAGUUGAUCGGUUUUGAGUAUGGUGCUCCUGUGGCAGUGUCCCAUCCGAGCAACUAUAGGGACAGGUUGCUCAUGGCAACGGCAUGCUGCUGCUGCUGUGGACUGGCAGCUGUUAAAUGCUCCAACGAUGUCAACUCCAAGCUAAGAGUUGGGGACAUGGAAGGAGCGAGGAAAGCUUCUGACAAGGCACUCUGUUUCACCAACACUGCUGUGAUGACUGGCCUAGGCAUUCAAACCGCCAUUAUGUGGCUAUUCUGUUGGUACUUAUAAAUUAUUCAUAUUAUUAAUUGAUGCAGCUAGAGUAAG